rnacentral:lncRNA from 1 species
UCCUGCAACGCAACAACCAGGUUAGUCACCUAACCCACUUAACUUCGUCGCAUAUACUAUAUUACGCGACUUGACUCCGCCACCAGCAGACGUACACUAGUGUAUUAGUCUAAUUCUUAGCGUCCUGUUGUCGGCCGCGAACACAAACUCCUCGAGCUUAGAAACCAACACUGCUCGGAUCUAUCUCUAGUCACACUAGAGAUCAAUACUCGAUCCGACCUAAUCGGAUUUUUCCUCAACCGAUAUAUGUUCACGUUUCUU